GGGCCCGCACAAGCGGUGGAGCAUGUGGUUUAAUUCGAUGAUACGCGAGGAACCUUACCAGGGCUUAAAUGUAGUGGGACAGGUCUAGAGAUAGACCCUUCUUCGGACUCAUUACAAGGUGCUGCAUGGUUGUCGUCAGCUCGUGCCGUGAGGUGUCAGGUUAAGUCCUAUAACGAGCGCAACCCCUAUCGUUAGUUGCCAGCGGGUAAUGCCGGGAACUCUAGCGAAACUGCCGGUGCAAACCGUGAGGAAGGUGGGGAUGACGUCAAAUCAUCACGGCCCUUACGUCCUGGCCACACACGUGCUACAAUGGUAGGUACAGAGGGAAGCCACCCCGCGAGGGGGAGCGGA
rnacentral:rRNA from 1 species